GACAGAGACAGAGAGAGAGAGAAACAGAACAAGUGCAGAGGAGAGAGAGAGAAAGAAGGAAGCCAUUUUGGUUCCAGCCUGUCUGAAGUUUAACUUUCUUCUCUUUCGGGUUUCUUUCACCCUGAUCCUCCUUCACAGACUCUCAGAUAGUGGAAGUUGAGAAACGAGGCUCGUCCUGUCAGUCGGAGAGCGUCGAAGAGGAGCCGCUGCAGCCUGAAGGACGGACGUGGUGGACGUCCAGCUGGAGGACAGAAGACAACAAGACAUAAAAGAUAAAACUCAGAGAGGCUGAGAGGGAGACGAACACCCAGCUGGAGUCUCUGUCAGAUGGUGGCGUCGUCCUGUUAGAGCAGAAAGUCUUCGGCAGGACAUCAGCUGGACGCGGUGGUCGUGUCUCUUCAGGUUCGGGGGGGGGAGGUGAGGAGGACGCAGGAUGAGCUCCGACCGAGUGCCGUCCCGGGCGGAGGUGAUGGGGUGGAGUCCACAGCAGCUGGCAGACUACCUGAAGAGGAUGAGUCUCUCCGGAUGUGAUAAAGCUGUGCUCAAAAACUCCAUCACUGGAGCCAGAUUUGUGAAUCUGAGUGAUAACGACCUGCAGAAGUUCCCCAAACUUCACGCUCCGAUGAUUUCUAAACUCAGGAGUGAGAUCAGUAAGAAGGAGGAGAGGAGAGGCCUGUUUGGUAAAAAACUCACAACGCCUAAAUAUCAUGAACCAGAAACAGCUGCUGAGGUUCAAGGUUGGGACGACGACGAGUUUGAUGAUGAAGAGUUUGACGAUGACUAUGAGAGUCCGUACAGCGGCGAUGAAGACGGCAGCGGCGGAGACUACGAGUCUCCCAACGACGACAUGGACGGGUCCAACGAUUACGAGCCUCCUCCCUCCGAACCUCUAGAGGACCCGGCUCAGAAACUGUGUCCCACUCUGCCCAUCGGAGACAGCGAGUAUAUCGAUAACAUGUCGUCCAGAGGCCCGCCCCCUGCAGUUUGUCCCCGCCCCCCGGUCGCCUCUCUCUCAGCUCCGUCGUCUCGGAUGCCUGCAGAUUCCAGAAGAGACCAUUCGCCUCACGUAGGCGCUCGACCACCAGGAAAGCUUCCUCCUGGACCGCCGCAGAUCUUCAGAGGAAACAAACCGGGCCGAGAUGCUGGAUCCAACCCGUCUCCUGUCAGAGGAGCAAACCGUAACACAGUGGACAAGUCAUGGAGACCUCCGCUGGACGCCGCACCUGAACCUCCAUCUUGGCCCAAACUUCCUGUUCCUCCUCCGUCCUCCACCUCCGUCGGCAGGAGCAACUCCUCCGUCAGACCUCCACCCAACAGGGACAGACGAGAGCAGACACACGAUGACGCACUCAAACACAACACCUUCCCUCUGCAGAACAAGGGUCUGCCCCCCCGCCCAGGACUGCCGUCACGCCUCGGAGACAGUUUGCCUCCCUCGGUUCCCUCUUCAGACUCUCUGCCUCUCAAACUGCAGUCUGCAAUAGCUGAUCACAGAAGCAGUGUUACUAGAUCAGACAGGUCACCGUUUCGUUCUCCUCAACCUGCAGCAGCACAGGAGCUGGACCCUUACUGGUAUGUUGGCAGAGUGACCAGAGGACAGGCUGAAGGAUGUCUGAAACGAGUCAACAAGGACGGGGCGUACCUGGUGAGGGACAGCACUCGGCAGCAGCCCAAUCAGCCGUUCACCCUGAUGGUUUUCUACCAGGACAAAGUCUACAACAUCCAGAUCCGACAGCAGAACCACAACUUCCUGUUAGGAACCGGACUCAAAGUCCAGGAGUCCUUCCCAUCAGUGGGUGAAAUCAUCGGCCAUUACUCCCAGUCUCCGCUGCUCCUCAUCGACGCCAAGAACCGCAGCGCCAGUCAACAGAACCAGUGUCUGCUGUCCGACCCGGCCGGGCAUUACAUGACCGGACACCACUGAUCCCACCGGGCCAGACCGGGCCAGACCGGGUCAGACCGGGCCAGACCGGGUCACACCGGGCCAGACCGGGUCAGACCGGUUUAAACCAGUUCAAACCGGAUCACAGAGUAAACCAGAGGAACCAGCAGUCAGACCAGAUGCAUAGAACCCGAC